CGCGCGCGCUCCCAGGAAGCUCGGCGCGUCGCGGAAGCCUCCGCCCGCGUUUAGAUAAACAGCCACCUGGGUUACCCAACAACACCCCACCCCGUCUGCCCCGUUGAACCCCGGGGCCUGCGUACUGAGCAUGCGCAGUUCUUCCUCCUGCGACGGGAGCCGCUUCUACUUGAGAACGCCACGGUCAGAAUUUGGCGGAGACAAGAUGUUGGAGGGGCCAGAGCAAUCUCCGGGCUUUAACAUGAGGCGAGGAGAAGAAGAUACUGGCAAGGUCCAGAAGGAGGCCUUCGCAUGAGGGCCUUGCUGGGCACCACCCAGUCUGUCAGCAUUCCUGAGAGCUUUGGUUUUAUCUUGUAUAAACAUAAGAAGCUUUAAGGGAGGAGCAUAAAUACAACGAAAUGCAGCUUUGUUUUAAGCGUCAGGACACUGAGGGGGAAGUGACAGACCCCCAUUCAGCCCACUGCCCGAGGCGGCGAAGGCCAGAAACCGCGGAAGCCGGGCCCUCGCUCUGUGACGUCGCCGGGGGUCCCUCCCACCUUCCCUAGCCCCGCCCUUCUUCAGUGCCUGAUAAAAGUCGAGCUCUUCCCACGCCCUGUCAGCUACGGGCGCCUGGAAAACCGGGAGAGCGGAUUCCCCCGCAGCAGCCAGAAGGCCCGGGAACACCUCAUAGCAACAGCCAGCCGGGGCAUCUAGUAGGAAGCUGGGAUUCAUUUCAGCCAACCAGCCCGCGCUUUUGGACCCCGUGGUAUCAUUCUCGACCAAUAGAGAGCCGCUUCAUGCCACGUGACACUGACCCAUCAGCCAAUGGAGGAAAACUCUAGUCGCAGGCUCAGCUAUCCCAUCUGCCACUGUUGGCCAGGCUGGGCGUUUGCCCCUGCGCACACUCUGCCAACCAAUCAUAGGUCCCCAAAAGUUGAGAAGCUCUGGACUGGAGUGCAUCUGAUAGAAGUUGUCACAAAAAAAUAACCUUCGUUAAGAGUCAUCACUGAAGUGCAGUCCAGCAAUGAUUACAUCUGAUAAACUGCAAAAUGGAGAAUCUAGGAUUCUUGAAGCUACUGUCAGAUAAUAGGGUCUCUGAAUGAACUGAAUCCAAAUACAGCCAGCUCUGAAGCACUCCCAGCACCCUUUCAGAAGAUGACGUCAGUGGAAAAUGACUCCAUAAUACGUGCCACUUAUAGUAGCAUCCCCACAGACCCAAGCCUAACUGUACUCGAG